rnacentral:tRNA from 1 species
CCGCCACUAGCUCAGCUGGAUAGAGCCGAUAACCAUUGCCGUUGUAGGCGCGGGGUUCGAGACCUCGGUGGCGGGCCA